UACCUGGUUGAUUCUGCCAGUAGUCAUAUGCUUGUCUCAAAGAUUAAGCCAUGCAUGUCUAAGUAUAAGCAACUAUACGGUGAAACUGCGAAUGGCUCAUUAAAUCAGUUAUC
rnacentral:ncRNA from 1 species